rnacentral:rRNA from 1 species
GGUGCGAGCGUUAUCGGAAUUACUGGGCGUAAAGCGUGCGCAGGCGGUUAUAUAAGACAGUUGCGAAAUCCCCGGGCUUAACCUGGGAAUGGCGCUUGUGACUGCACGACUGGAGUGCGGCAGAGGGGGAUGGAAUUCCGCGUGUAGCAGUGAAAUGCGUAGAUAUGCGGAGGAACACCGAUGGCGAAGGCAGUCCCCUGGGCCUGCACUGACGCUCAUGCACGAAAGCGUGGGGAGCAAACAGGAUUAGAUACCCUGGUAGUCAAGGGCG